rnacentral:rRNA from 1 species
CCUACGGGAGGCAGCAGUAAGGAAUAUUGGACAAUGCUCGCAAGAGUGAUCCAGCCAUGCCGCGUGCAGGAAGAAUGCCCUAUGGGUAGUAAACUGCUUUUGAACUAGAGAAAACCCCAGUACGUGUACUGGGCUGAUAGUAUAGUUAGAAUAAGCAUCGGCUAACUUCGUGCCAGCAGCCGCGGUAAGACGAAGGAUGCAAGCGUUAUCCGGAUUCAUUGGGUUUAAAGGGAGCGUAGGUGGACUGAUAAGUCAGUGGUGAAAUCUCCGAGCUUAACUCGGAAAUUGCCAUUGAUACUGUUGGUCUUGAGUACAGUUGCUGUGGGCGGAAUAUGACAUGUAGUGGUGAAAUACAUAGAGAUGUCAUAGAACACCGAUUGCGGAGGCAGCUCACAAAGCUGUAACUGACACUGAGGCUCGAAAGUGCGGGGAUCAAACAGGAUUAGAUACCCUGGUAGUCCGCACCGUAAACGAUGAUUACUCGCUGCUAGGGGGCAACCUUUAGUGGCUUAGCGAAAGCGAUAAGUAAUCCACCUGGGGAGUACGCCGGCAACGGUGAAACUCAAAGGAAUUGACGGCUUGAGGACGNGCGAGGACGACACGAGGGAGGAGG